rnacentral:antisense_RNA from 1 species
CUUCACCGAACCCAGCCACAACGGCUCCACCCGCCCCUGACCGUAGGUCGCCAACAGCGCCUGCGCCUC